CAGUUCUGCUCACAGCGCACAUCACUAGUGGAAGAGCGCAGAAAAAGCAGCUAAGAAAAAGUCUUUUCUUUUCACGGUAAAAGAAAACGGUGGCGAUUUUGGCCUGCCUUCGCAAACGAAAUCGAGCCGGAAAAGUGCAUCCGGUCGUACAGUCCGGGAAGCAGUUGCGUUCGCGUGUGCGUGUUGUUUGCGGAGCCUUCACGCCCCGAAGCUGUGCAGAAAACAUAUCCGCCGAUCCGCCGAGGCCCAGCUAGAGCGACGACGACCGCGUCAUCUUAAUGGCCGAUUGAGGAACCGUGCGCGUAUUCCCGUGUGUGUCGACAGCAGCGCCUCUUGCCGUGGUGUACGUGAAUGCGUGCUCCUGGUACCAGCUUUCGCCACCCGUCUGUACCCGUCUGUGUGUCCGGCAGGCAGUCACGCACGCACGGCCACGGUCGAACCACGGUACAUCCAGCGACUGCUGCUCGUCCCGUCUCCGCACCAUCAGGGAGUGUGGGACAGUGUGGGGCAGUGUGGUUGCGCCUGCUCGCAGGGGGAAAAGAAAAAGUGCAACAGCGCCCUGUCGGUGGUGCGAAGAAAAACUACGCGAAAAUACACACAAGGGCGGGGUGGCAAAAUCCGCACUGUGCUCGACCGACUCCAGUUUCGGUGUCGUGGGGCGAGGAUGAUUCUCAGUUGCGCGACGCAAGUGAGAUGAAAAUUGUGCAAAAGUGAACGUGAACGUCGCCGUGGAGGGUGCAGCAAAGGGAGUAGCAGCGAGCAGGAAUCGUCUUACAGGCUGCGCUGGCUCGGAUGAUGAUGAUGGUGUCAAAUUAAAAGCUCGAAACAAGUGCAGUCAAGCUAUCAGCGGAAGCAAAAUGAAUCGAGGAGACCAAUAUACUGCUUUAAUUCCAGAACCCUGGAACUACACAUCGCUUGCGCGACGCAUCUUGUACAUCCUGUUCGAUGAUUAUGGAUGACGUUCCGCAGUAUAGCAAAAAUGAAAUAUACACUAAACAGAAAUCGAGCCAGAUUUUCCGAAACUGCGGACUCCUAUAGUUCCGGAGCUAUGUAUCCGUCUGUUCAGGAGGCUAUCACUGCCGAUGGUUAUGAAAGAGGAUAGAAACACGCUUUAGAACGGAAGGAGAAAUAACAUACGUUCAAUGGAAAAUGGAAACACCUUCAACAGGAUAAAAGCGGUGGAACCAGAUCUACUGGAGUGAUUGAGAUCCUUUGCCACGGAGGUACAUGUGUAUUUCGUAAACCAUCAUAGAAGAAUGUGCGUUAAAAACAUGAGAAAAGUAAAUUAAUACCAGCGCUGUUGGUUAUUCACGUCAAAGCUGAACCGACAGAAAAAUUUUAAAUUAAACUGAUCAUUUAUAAAUG